rnacentral:sRNA from 1 species
GGAGAUGGCUCGAGACCUCGUAGAGAGAGCACUGUACAGCAUGGAAUGCGCGUUCCACCCCCUGUUCAGUCUCACCAGCGGGGCCUGCCGGCUGGAUUACCGCAGACCCGAGAACAGGAGCUUCUACCUGGCCCUCUACAAGCAGAUGAGCUUCCUGGAGAAGCGAGGCUGCCCGCGCACGGCGCUGGAGUACUGCAAGCUCAUCCUGAGUCUCGAGCCGGAUGAGGACCCCCUCUGCAUGCUGCUGCUCAUCGACCACCUGACCUUGCGGGCCCGGAACUACGAGUACCUGAUCCGCCUCUUCCAGGAGUGGGAGGCUCAUCGGAACCUGUCCCAGCUCCCGAAUUUUGCCUUCUCCGUUCCACUGGCGUAUUUCCUGCUGAGCCAGCAGACAGACCUCCCUGAGCAUGAGCGGAGCUCAGCCAGGGAGAAGGCCUCUCUCCUGAUACAGCAGGCGCUCACCAUGUUCCCUGGAGGUGAGUGUCCUGUCAGCUGUGGGGACUGCUCUUCCUGGUGGUGGAGGCCAGGUCCCCGUCCUUCCCCACACCUACAGAAACAUGCAUUCUCUGGUAGGGCCUGCAAACCUGCCCUACCAAACCUGAAAGAUGGUUGGCUCAUCUCGGAACCUGCUGCGUGCCAUGCCAGGCACGAGGAGGUGGCAGGCAUCCCGACCCCCGUGGGGCCGGUGUU